ACAUGCAAGUCGAACGGAAAGGCUCCAGCUUGCUGGGGUGCUCGAGUGGCGAACGGGUGAGUAACACGUAAGUGAUCUGCCCUGCACUGGGGGAUAAGCUUGGGAAACUGGGUCUAAUACCCUAUAGGACCGCAUCGUGGUUGGUGUGGUGGAAAGGUUUUUCUGGUGUGGGAUGAGCUUGCGGCCUAUCAGCUUGUUGGUGGGGUAAUGGCCUACCAAGGCGGCGACGGGUAGCCGGCCUGAGAGGGUGUGCGGCCACAUUGGGACUGAGAUACGGCCCAGACUCCUACGGGAGGCAGCAGUGGGGAAUUUUGCACAAUGGGCGGAAGCCUGAUGCAGCGACGCCGUGUGGGGGAUGAAGGCCUUCGGGUUGUAAACUCCUUUCGUCAGGGACGAAGUUUUUUUGACGGUACCUGGAUAAGAAGCACCGGCUAACUACGUGCCAGCAGCCGCGGUAAUACGUAGGGUGCGAGCGUUGUCCGGAUUUACUGGGCGUAA
rnacentral:rRNA from 1 species